UAAACUCAAAAUCACCCAUUCCUACUGUGUGUGUUAGAACCCACUGAAACGGAAAGGGAGCAUCCUGGUCCAGAAGUAGGGUUCAUGUUCAUACUGCAUCUUUGCACAAAUUACAGGCCCGGCAUGGGAGGGGCAAGACAGUGCCCUCUCUCUGAGAGCAUGCAGCCCCGUUAGAGUGGAAGCCCUGCAAGGCUAGCAUUCUUCUCCUCCUGAGGACUGUGUGAUACUCUACUCGUGGCUCCUGCCUCUCCUCACUCUGCAAAGCCCACAGGACCAUAGAACGAGAGGGAAAGAGACACGACGAGUUUCCGGAUGAGCGCUGGAUGCUUUGUGAGCUGUAAGAGUCAUGAGGUCACUCCAACCCUGCUUUCCGUCCUUCAGUCACCCAUUCGGUACCCAUCAGGAUAUGCUAGGUACCACUGUGCAUCCCAAAAGGGCAUCAUAUGAUGCAAGAUGCAGGCUUUCCUGGGUCCACAGCAACAUCAAAAAGAGCAAACCAGACAUGCAAAGAAAGCGAUUUUAACACGAGACAGAUGUGCAACUGAGUAACACGAUCAGGUGAUGCCAGCCACAUAAACAUGUUUUGAAAAUGUGUAUUUUAUUUCUUAUACAUGUACAUUUGUUUUCAUCAAAAAUAAAGAUCAAAUCAAAUUUCAAAGAGAUAUAAAACCC
rnacentral:lncRNA from 1 species